rnacentral:rRNA from 1 species
UACGGAGGGUGCGAGCGUUGUCCGGAAUCACUGGGCGUAAAGGGCGCGUAGGUGGCUUGGCAAGCGUGUGGUGAAAGCCCGGGGCUCAACCCCGGGUCUGCCGUGCGAACUGCUAUGGCUUGAGCACUGUAGAGGCAGGUAGAAUUCCGGGUGUAGCGGUGGAAUGCGUAGAGAUCCGGAAGAACACCUGAGGCGAAGGCGGCUUGCUGGGCAUGAUCUGACGCUGAGGCGCGAAAGCGUGGGGAGCAAACAGG